GAUCCUGGCUCAGGAUAAACGCUAGCUACAGGCUUAACACAUGCAAGUCGAGGGGCAGCANGGUCUUAGCUUGCUAAGGCCGAUGGCGACCGGCGCACGGGUGAGUAACACGUAUCCAACCUGCCGUCUACUCUUGGACAGCCUUCUGAAAGGAAGAUUAAUACAAGAUGGCAUCAUGAGUUCACAUGUUCACAUGAUUAAAAGGUAUUCCGGUAGACGAUGGGG
rnacentral:rRNA from 1 species